CAGAUUUAGGGCAAAGUUAACACUUCAAAAAAAUCUCCAGUAAUUGAGUAAAUUGCUCAUCUGUCAAAUUGGCUUUUUGGCAAAUUACUCUGCUUGCACAUAUUAAUAGCCAAGCUCAACCAGCUUGAAAUAUGGAGAUUUACUGGAAAUCACAGUGAAGUGAAGAGAGAGGCAAGAGCAGAAUUGAAAUUCCCACCUGGCAGCAAAAGAGAGUUAUGCAGAGCAUAUCAGGACCCGUGUUCACACCAGCACUUAGUUUGGAGGAAGCACCUGGAGGAGAUGCAGAGUCCAGAUGUGCGCCCUCUGCCGGAAGCCUACUGCACCAGGACGUAGGCCUGGAGUGGCCCUUAACGCAUUUGGAAAUCAGUCUUCACUAAAAAAACUUCCUCCAAAAUGUUCUUUAACAGCCCUUUAAAAGCCAUUGUUUCAAAACAGUCCAAGGUAGUGAGCAAUUAAUAUUUUCGAUUUACAUGAAGACUCUGGAGUAGGAAUUACCUAAGUUGGAAACCCUGUUCUACUCUAUUGGUAUCAGGUUGCAUUCCGUAUCAUCAUUAAAAUUUUCAGAAAAACUCUC
rnacentral:antisense_RNA from 1 species